rnacentral:rRNA from 1 species
AUUGAACGCUGGCGGCAUGCCUUACACAUGCAAGUCGAACGGCAGCACGGGAGCAAUCCUGGUGGCGAGUGGCGAACGGGUGAGUAAAGUAUCGGAACGUGCCCAGUCGUGGGGGAUAACGUAGCGAAAGUUACGCUAAUACCGCAUACGAUCUAUGGAUGAAAGCGGGGGAUCGCAAGACCUCGCGCGAUUGGAGCGGCCGAUAUCAGAUUAGGUAGUUGGUGGGGUAAAGGCUCACCAAGCCGACGAUCUGUAGCUGGUCUGAGAGGACGACCAGCCACACUGGGACUGAGACACGGCCCAGACUCCUACGGGAGGCAGCAGUGGGGAAUUUUGGACAAUGGGCGAAAGCCUGAUCCAGCCAUGCCGCGUGCAGGAUGAAGGCCUUCGGGUUGUAAACUGCUUUUGUACGGAACGAAAAGGUUUGGCCUAAUAAGCUGAGCUCAUGACGGUACCGUAGGAAUAAGCACCGGCUAACUACGUGCCAGCCGCCGCCGUAA